UCAGUGCAUUCUAUCUUGAGUUUGGCAGCAGCUCCAACCCACUCAAAAGCAUCAAAUUUAGCAAGAAAUGAACUUUGUCUCAGGAGACAACUAAAAGAACAUAUUUCAGUUCCUUAUGGAGGUUCUCAGAGUGACAGGAAUUGGCUGAUUUGAUCUUGGCUCAGAAAGUAGGUGAACCUGGACUUUACUAGCAUUUGGUUGGGAGACUACCACAGGAUAUCAGGGUUGUUUGUAUCUGAAUGAAACAACAUUAAACUAUUUGCAGAUUGUUGUCAAGGGAACUAUGUGGACACAAUCAUCAAGUCACAAGGAGUUGCAGCAAGUUUUACUUUCACAGUAAUAAUGGAAGUAUAUGCUAAAAGCCCACCCCGCCUCAAAUCUUCAAGACAUAAAUUAAACAAGCAACAAAAUGAACUUAUGAGAUGACCUUUUUAAAAAAAAAAUGGAGAGAAAAAGACUCCAAAGCUCUGUAAAACAAUACUUUCAAUGUCAUAUUGCUGUUAUUGUUAUUAUUUGUAAAGAACUUGUGUCUUCAAAAAGUAAAUUACUUUUCAUUUAAAAAUGAACAAAGUUUAGGACCUGAUGGGAUCUCUGCGAUAUAUUACAAGAUCUCUCAAUAAUUUUGAUUAAAUCGCUACCCCUGGUGAUGAAUGAAAUUCAACAACAAUCAGGGACUUCCCAUCAUGGAAAGAAGCUUUUAUUUCUGUGAUUUACAAGGAAGAAAACAAUCCAAUUUAUCAAAGUGAUAGAGCUUAUUUUCUUAUUGAAUGUGCAUCACAAACUUUUUAUAACAACUUGCAAAGAGAACAAGUGAUUUUCUAGCUGAAUUAAUACAUCCUGACAAGAUUUGAUUUGUCCCAAAGAGAUACAUGAGAAAAAAAUCAUGUAUGUUGUGAAUGUUGUGAUAAUAUAAAUUAGAACAAGAGAAAUGGACAUUUGUUAAUGCAGAGAAAGCUUUUGAUUAUUUUGAAUGGUCUUCCAUACUUAAAUCUCUGAAGAAGAUAAUUUUUUUACAUGAAUACAGAGUAUUUAUAAAGAAUAAGAAGGUCUUAAUAUAUUGAUGAUUUUUAAUCACAAAAAACUACCCCAAUGAAAGGAAUAUUCUGCCUCAUUCCUGCCUCAUUCAUUAUUCAUAGUGGCAUUGCAAAGAAGAUAUACCAAGAAAUGAAUUUUCAGGAAUUAAAUGCUGCUCA